CACUCAUUAAAAGAGUGCGUAAUAGCUCACUGGUCGAGUGAUUCUGCGCCGAAAAUUUAACGGGGCUAAACUAUACACCGAAGCUUAGGAUACCGCAAGGUAUGGUAGGAGAGCGUUCUGUACGGAGUGAAGUCGUAGCGAAAGCGGCGGUGGACUGUACAGAAGUGAGAAUGCCGGAAUAAGUAGCGAGAAUUAAGUGAGAAUCUUAAUGGCCGAAAGUCUAAGGUUUUUGGAGGAAGGUUCGUCCGCUCCAAGUAAGUCGGGAGCUAAGGUCAGGCCGAAAGGCGUAGCCGAUGCACAAACGGUUGAUAUUCCGUUACCGUCUACAAUUUAAACAAAGGGACACAUACAAAGCGUUUAACCCGGGCGAUGGUUGACCCGGGCGCAAGGGACUGAAAUUAGAGUAGGGAAGUAAAUGUGGCGUAUGGCGAGAAAAGCUUUGUGUAUAGAAGUAGACGCCCGUACCGCAAACCGACACAGGUGGACAGGAAGAGAAUUCUAAGGCCAGCGGGAGAAGGGUAGUUAAGGAACUCGGCAAAUUGACUCCGUAACUUCGGAAUAAGGAGUGCUCGAAAGAGCCGCAGAGAAUAGGCCCAGGCGACUGUUUAGCAAAAACACAGGUCUCUGCCAAAUCGAAAGAUGAAGUAUAGGGGCUGACACCUGCCCGGUGCCGGAAGGUUAAGAGGAGGAGUGCAAGCUCCGAAUUGAAGCCCCGGUAAACGGCGGCCGUAACUAUAACGGUCCUAAGGUAGCGAAAUUCCUUGUCGGGUAAGUUCCGACCCGCACGAAUGGUGUAACGAUCUGGGCACUGUCUCAACUACCCACCCGGCGAAAUUGUAGUACCGGUGAAGAUGCCGGUUACCUGCGGCAAGACGGAAAGACCCCAUGGAGCUUUACUGUAGCCUGAUAUUGGGUUUCGGAAAUCUAUGUACAGGAUAGGCGGGAGACUGGGAAGUAUGAGCGUCAGCUUAUACGGAGUCAUUGUUGGGAUACCGCCCUUAGGUUUCUGGAAUUCUAACCUGCGACCGUGAAUCCGGUCGGGGGACAUUGUCAGGUGGGCAGUUUGACUGGGGCGGUCGCCUCCGAAAAGGUAACGGAGGCGCUCAAAGGUUGGCUCAGCACGGACGGAAACCGUGCCUCAGAGUGUAAACGCAAAAGCCAGCCUAACUGCGAGGAUGACGGUCCGAGCAGUAACGAAAGUUGGAGUUAGUGAUCCGGCGGUAU
rnacentral:rRNA from 1 species